GACGUAGGGCGCGAGCGUUGUCCGGAUUUAUUGGGCGUAAAGAGCUCGUAGGCGGCUUGUCGCGUCGAAUGUGAAAAUCUCAGGGCUCAACUCUGACAUUGCAUUCGAUACGGGCAGGCUAGAGUUCGGUAGGGGGAGACUGGAAUUCCUGGUGUAGCGGUGAAAUGCGCAGAUAUCAGGAGGAACACCGGUGGCGAAGGCGGGUCUCUGGGCCGAUACUGACGUUGAGGGAGCGAAAAGCGUGGGG
rnacentral:rRNA from 1 species